UGUAUGCUUUGGUAUCAAAGUUUUUUUUGUUUCUCUCUCGGUGUUGUACGAGGCGAUUAGACUGACGUGACUGUCUCUGACGUUGUUCUCAUCAAAGUUGUUGACAUCGCUGCAGGGAUUUUUCCACUGUUUCUUGCGGUGAUUUCUGUCUGAUCUACCUUUUGCUCUUAUGAUUCUUUUGGUCUUUUUUAUCGUUUUUCUCUUUUAAAAUUUUGUAUGAUCUUGGAUUAUGUGCAUGGAAUUUUGACAUGCUUGUUGGAGUUGUGGAACCCACGGGGGUUGCGAUUCCUAUUGGUCAUUUUUUUUAUUUCUUUAAGUACUCUUGGUGUUAGUUUAUGGAUGAAAAAGGUGUUAUUAAACUCUUCACGUCCUUUUGUUUGGUCGCAUGCAUGCAGGGGUUUUGGGAUCGUUUCUUGAACUCUGGUAAGGCAAGGCAUUUGAUUUGCGUUCUUUUGGUUGUUUUUUAGUUUUUUAUCUUUUUUUGUCUUCUUCUUUCUUCUUUUUUCCUUGUUUUCUGUUUUCUUCCUUGUGAUAAUCUCCUAGACUUCCAGUCUGGGUUUUUUCCUGGUCUCAUCUACUUUUUUUAGGUUUUGCUGUUCUUGUUUCUGGUUCGUGUUGUCUUUGUUUGCACUAAGUGCUUGGCGGCCUCUGACUCUGGUCUUCUUGGCGUUUGGGUUUUCUUUGGGUUGAGGGUUUCUGGGGGUGCAGGUUUUUUUUUGGCUUCUAUUAGUGCUUUCACUUUUUUUGUGGGCUUUUUUUCGUGACAGUUUUCCUUUUCGGUGGUGCCUAUGGAGGAAAGGUCGGAAAGUGAUAUGCCACCAUCGACGGAUGAGUUAAAUGAACGCCUGGAAAGGCUAAAAUUCUCAGAAGAAGAGUCUGUUCAGGUUAUC
rnacentral:lncRNA from 1 species